GGUAGGGUAGAAAGAAACGGAAGCUUGGAAUCCAUUUUGUGUUUGAAAGAUUUGAGUUUGAGAGUUUUGAUGUGGGUUUGAGAGUUGUGAAUGUGGUAAAAAAAAAUGAAUUAGAUUGGUUAGUAUAUAUUGUUUAAAAAAAAAUUGAAUUUUUUUUUUUUAAAAUUCGACCGUUUAACAACGGUCAAAUCUCGUUCAACGUGCAAAAUCAAUCUGUAAAGCCACACCCAAAACCCUCCCCGAUUCGGGACCCCGCGGUGAUGGCGGCGGUGUUCCCGAUCGGGGAAACUCCUCACCGAACCACUCCCCGAAUGCGCCCCGUACACCCUCACACGCGCUCCACCAUUCUUUCCCUUUCAUCUUCUUCUUCCGUCCUUCACUCUUUAUCCCUAUGUAUUCAUUCCACUUCGAACUAGGUUUCAAAAAACCCAAAACAACACUUCUGAAUCUCACUUUCUGACUGAAACACAUAUCACACAGUCACAUCUUUGCAUAAAAAUCCAAUUCCUAUUCAAGAAACACAAAUCUCUCAUAAGAAACACAGAUCCUACAGUUGUGGUUGAUUUUUAAACCUAAUCUUAUUACGGUGUAGAUCAGCAUUCACACGGAUUCGUGUUUGAAUUUUGGUUCAUCUUCUGUAUUUUUAACCUGUGAUGGAGUAUAUAAAGCCAUACCAUAUAAUACUCUCUCUCCGUUGUGCAUCUGGUUUUGUUUUCUGGGUGUUAGCUAUUGAAGGAAGGGUUGCUGUUGUUACACAAAUCAGUGAUGAGUUUUGAUGAACUUGAGAAGUGGGCUUGAAGCGGAUGUUUCAACAAGAAUGAGUGCAUAAGUGCAGUGGGCUUGAAGCGGAUGCUUAAUCAGGUGGAAUGGGAAGUGGCAUACAGAACACAAGUAGAGGCUUUUAUUAAUUUACAAAGGUUGAUCAAACAACGUAGAAGCAAUCUUUGGUGUGUAAUGGGAAGUGACAUACUGAUUAAGUAUUAUCCUUCUAUUAAAUUUUGAAGCUUUUGAACACUAAUUAGGGGUGUUUUAGGAAUUUCAAAAAAAAUGCCACGUUGUUGCCUCUUGAUACCUCCACCGCUUCAUCUUUGCUUUAUCUGCAACACAUUAGGGUUCACUACCAUGACAAUCCAUCUGAAACAACACCUCAAUAUCUCCGACGAUUGACUGAACUACCAGAUGUUUCUGAGACGAUUUGGUUGGUACUCUCUCAACACAGCCGCUAACUCGGCGACUCUAGCGACGGUGGUGACUGAUGGUGAUUUAACCGAAGAUGACCUAGGGCUCCGCCGUGAACCCUAUUGGUGAAGCCGGUUUGGUCAAUCGGCCGCGACGCGUUGGCGGUGAUACAAUCGUUAACGACGGCAGUGGUGAGGAGAAGUUUGAGGCGAACAAUGUAACUUUACGACAGAUUUUUAGAAUGAUUUAUGUUUUGGUAACAUGCAGUGACAUCUAAAUGCUAAUUGAGCAGGUGAUUUUGAUAUAUUGUUAGAUCGUAAUUAAACUGUUGUUGUUGGUUCAGAUUAAUUUCCUAUAGCAGAAGGCAGAGGAGGGUCCGAUGAUUCAGAUUCUCUCGCCUGAGCUCUUCCUUUUCUAGAAAUAUACCACCCGACCUCCGAAUUGAUAGCUCUGGAACAUGGAGGACGUUUUUAGGUUUCUUCAAGAGAACGUGAGAAGUAAUUGUUAGGUUUGAUAAAUGCAGGGAUGAGUGGAGGUUUGCACCAUAGCUUAUGAAGAAGUAAGUACCACAAGUAGUCGUGAUCAAGCACAAAGAAAGCUUUAUUAUAUUGGCGGGUUGUCUCCUGAAACAAGUGGAAUGUUGGUUCUUUUUUUCCAAAAAAAAAACAUGCUGAUAUAGAAGAAGGUUUUGUUGCAUAUGACAAAGAAACAAACAAAUCACGGGCAAGAAGCAUCUGGUGGCAAGUAUGAGUAUGGCUAUAACUACCUAUCCCAGCUUAGUUCGAGACUAAAUGGGCUACUACAACACAUAGAACAACGUCGGAGCAAGGCUAUGAAGAAAGCAACUGGAGCCGAAAUGUGCACGCUGUAGAAGAUAUGGAACAGCCGCAUAGAAAAGAUAUUCGAAGGAGGCGCAAACUCUCUAACAAUAAUGAACAGCCACAAUGAAAAGAUAUUCCAAGGAGGCGCGAACUCUCAACUAAAAUUGAUGGAGGCCAUAAAAGACACAUCUAUCUGGUGUGGCAUCAUCGAGGAUGACAGGUGCAUUGUUCUCCGCUUGCAACCGAUGGUGCAGCCAUGGCAGCUUAAUAGCUUGGUCCGAGCCUCACCAUGCUGGUUUCGAGGUGAUUAACCUAUAUCGUAGUCGAUUAACAUGAACGAAAAGGUUCGUGAGCAGAAGCAACUAGCAAAUAUGCAGGUGUUGUUAUAUGGGUCACUUUAAUUAUCACUUCUUACCAAGGAUAGCUACUUAUGCUAUCAAAGGUGCAUGCCUAGGUACUGAAACGCAGCCCAGCAUACCAUAUGCGCUGCGCUCUGAAAGGUGCGAUUUAAGGCUCUUAGGCGCAUGUUCAGAGCAUUUUCCGGCUAAAUUCUGUUAAACCGUUUUAUUUGAAAGGAUACAAUGUAAAUAAAAUGUUUUGUGUUAUCCUAACUUGACUACACUUAGAAUUGGUCUUCAGUACCCUAACUCAGGCACAGGCUGGUCUUUGGCUGGUUGAGACAAGCUUUUUUAUAUACACUCUAGGUGGUUUGGCUGAGCCUCGCGUGCAUGUUAUCACACCAAGAAUGAUUCGAUUUAGCGCGUCGCAACGCGCCCGGUGUAUAAAACUAGUUCUUUUAAUUUUAUUUGUAAAAUGUUGCUUUUUUAUUAUUCACUUAGCAUUUUCUGUAACUUAUAUUCAUUGGUGUUAAAUAAUAUAAUUCAA